rnacentral:rRNA from 1 species
CUCUCGGGUGACGAGUGGCGGACGGGUGAGUAAUGUCUGGGAAACUGCCUGAUGGAGGGGGAUAACUACUGGAAACGGUAGCUAAUACCGCAUAACGUCGCAAGACCAAAGAGGGGGACCUUCGGGCCUCUUGCCAUCAGAUGUGCCCAGAUGGGAUUAGCUAGUAGGUGGGGUAACGGCUCACCUAGGCGACGAUCCCUAGCUGGUCUGAGAGGAUGACCAGCCACACUGGAACUGAGACACGGUCCAGACUCCUACGGGAGGCAGCAGUGGGGAAUAUUGCACAAUGGGCGCAAGCCUGAUGCAGCCAUGCCGCGUGUAUGAAGAAGGCCUUCGGGUUGUAAAGUACUUUCAGCGGGGAGGAAGGUGUUGUGGUUAAUAACCGCAGCAAUUGACGUUACCCGCAGAAGAAGCACCGGCUAACUCCGUGCCAGCAGCCGCGGUAAUACGGAGGGUGCAAGCGUUAAUCGGAAUUACUGGGCGUAAAGCGCACGCAGGCGGUCUGUCAAGUCGGAUGUGAAAUCCCCGGGCUCAACCUGGGAACUGCAUUCGAAACUGGCAGGCUAGAGUCUUGUAGAGGGGGGUAGAAUUCCAGGUGUAGCGGUGAAAUGCGUAGAGAUCUGGAGGAAUACCGGUGGCGAAGGCGGCCCCCUGGACAAAGACUGACGCUCAGGUGCGAAAGCGUGGGGAGCAAACAGGAUUAGAACUGGGGGAAAUCCAAAUUUUUGUUGGGG